CUUAGUGGCGGACGGGUGAGUAACGCGUGGGGAACCUGCCUUGCACCGGGGGAUAACACUUAGAAAUAGGUGCUAAUACCGCAUAAGCGCACAGAGCCGCAUGGCUCAGUGUGAAAAACUCCGGUGGUGCAAGAUGGACCCGCGUCUGAUUAGCUGGUUGGCGGGGUAACGGCCCACCAAGGCGACGAUCAGUAGCCGGCCUGAGAGGGUGAACGGCCACAUUGGGACUGAGACACGGCCCAAACUCCUACGGGAGGCAGCAG
rnacentral:rRNA from 1 species